CGUGGUGGUUUUAUAGCUUUAUAUGGACCUCCUCAAAGCUUUGCUCUGUCUUGAUACAGUUAUGGGUGUGUUCUGGUGAAGCCCAGCCCUGACCAUCAUAAAGGUUCCAGGUGUAGUCAGCUGUCGUUCAAAGCCUCCUUCCUCAUUCCAUCCGUCCUCACUGAGGAGCCCAGCAGCUCAAUCUUUACUCAGAACCUUUAGAACCGUGUUCACGUUCUGUCUCCGUUCUGAACACUUACUUUGUGUUUUGGCGAACACCUGAAUCUCCUCCUUCAACUGAUCUUACUUUCCAUCCUUUUGUGCUUUUAUAUUUUCAUACGACACGGGACAGCACACUUUUCACCACAGAGAAGCUAAGAGAAGCCCCUGACUGCAGCCCGCAGACGGAGCCCACAUGGAGGGGGCUGGCACUCAGUCCACAUGGAGGGGGCCGGCACUCCGCCCACAUGGAGGGGGCGGGUACUCAUGCUGCGUUCGAGUAUUCUCUGCGAACCGACUCGGAUCUCGGAUCUGACGCCACGCCCGUCCACAUGGAGGGGGCGGCCACUCAGUUCACAUUGAGGACUGGUCAAACAGCAUUUCUGAUCCUGUUUCUGACCUAAAAUUACCUGAAAUUAGAGUGUGCCCGCCCGAGCGAGUGAUGCCUAAAACAUGCAAAGACACGUCAGUGUAAUUGUGGAUGGCGAGAGCCCUGAAAUACAGCUGGACAGCAGCGGUCUACAUCACUGCCCCUUCUGCAGAUACAAAGGGUCAAAAUUUGAUAUCGACCAUCACAUUAAAUGCCAUGCCUCGGUUAAAUACAGAGGUCUGCAGAGGAGCUUUCAGGAAGCAGGAAGAGAAGACGGGAGGAAAAAAAGCUACAGGAUAAAGAUCUCUGCACAAAAAGGGCUAGAGUUGCUCCAACAGCAUCCAGCUCUGAAGGAUCAGGUCAUGUAUAGACUGUUAAUCCAGGUGAAUCCAUGUAGGCCUACACAUAUUCAGAGUGUUUGUGAGAUAUGAUUGAUUCUAUUAGGCUUCUACUUCCAAAUUAAGUUGUACACAUAUCUCCAUCAAUAUACAAGUUAUAGCCUACUCCAUGGCUGAUCUAUUGCGCAUACUAGGGCCUACUUUUAUUAUUCCAUUGUAUUGGCCUACUAAACAUUACAGACAACAAUCUGUUUUAUUUCCAGACAAAACUGAAGACCAGGAACUGGAACCUGGUAUAUAAUAUGAAGAUGAUGUUGACCUGAAGGACACAAUUCAGGCAGCAGCAUGGUGCCAGUUACAGUCCUUCAAGGACAGCGUUUCUCUCCCAGAGGUCAUUGGGAUGGAAGGUUGGGAGCAGAUGGCAGCAUCAACACAGCGCAAAUCCCAUGACGGCGGGGAUGAGGAAGAAACGUGGAAACCAUUCCAAUUCUCAUUCAGAUUACAUACUGACUAUGAACUGUUCUGUGUGGAGAGGAUGGACAGGAGAAACCUGAAGGUGUUUGCCUCUUUUGAGUCAA